GACGAACGCUGGCGGCGUGCUUAACACAUGCAAGUCGAACGGAAAGGCCCUGCUUUUGUGGGGUGCUCGAGUGGCGAACGGGUGAGUAACACGUGAGUAACCUGCCCUUGACUUUGGGAUAACUUCAGGAAACUGGGGCUAAUACCGGAUAGGAGCUCCUGCUGCAUGGUGGGGGUUGGAAAGUUUCGGCGGUUGGGGAUGGACUCGCGGCUUAUCAGCUUGUUGGUGGGGUAGUGGCUUACCAAGGCUUUGACGGGUAGCCGGCCUGGGAGGGUGAACGGCCACAUUGGGACUGAGAGACGGCCCAGACGGCUACGGGAGGCAGCAGUGGGGAAUAUUGCACAAUGGGCGGGAGCCUGAGGCAGCAACGCCGCGUGCGGGAUGACGGCCUUCGGGUUGUAAACCGCUUUCGCCUGUGACGAAGCGUGAUUGACGGUAAUGGGUAAAGAAGCACCGGCUAACUACGUG
rnacentral:rRNA from 1 species